rnacentral:rRNA from 1 species
GGGUGAGUAACACGUGGAUAACCUACCUAUAAGACUGGGAUAACUUCGGGAAACCGGAGCUAAUACCGGAUAAUAUAUUGAACCGCAUGGUUCAAUAGUGAAAGACGGUUUUGCUGUCACUUAUAGAUGGAUCCGCGCCGCAUUAGCUAGUUGGUAAGGUAACGGCUUACCAAGGCAACGAUGCGUAGCCGACCUGAGAGGGUGAUCGGCCACACUGGAACUGAGACAUGGUCCAG